rnacentral:rRNA from 1 species
CACGUAGGGCGCAAGCGUUGUCCGGAAUUAUUGGGCGUAAAGGGUGCGUAGGCGGCGCGGUAAGUCGGGUGUGAAAUCUCGGAGCUUAGCUCCGAAACUGCAUUCGAUACUGCCGUGCUUGAGGACUGGAGAGGAGACUGGAAUUUACGGUGUAGCGGUGAAAUGCGUAGAUAUCGUAAGGAAGACCAGUGGCGAAGGCGGGUCUCUGGACAGUUCCUGACGCUGAGGCACGAAGGCCAGGGGAGCAAACGGG